rnacentral:lncRNA from 1 species
UGAGCCUCCUUCCACCAAGACUACAUGCCCUCCCGUCCUGACCCUGCCCCAAAUGCCAGGAGCAAAUGUGACCCCCCUGCCUCUGACUCCCCACCCUCUCUGCUGUGUGCUCCCCCCACCCUGAUUUUAACGACGGUUCUUUUCUGCCCCCUGCACGGCGGCUCCUGAGGUUCAGGUGGACUUCUAGGAUGGAACUGCUCUGUUUGGCCACUGAGGAGAGUGGCCGCCUUUGAGCUGUCCAGGGACCUGCUGGGCCUUUCUCCAGCAACGCGGGUGGUCACGGUGCUUGGUGAAGCGGUAGCCUGUGCCAGGAACUGGAACCAGUCACCAUGCGGGCAUCCAAGGGACCAGAUGGGACAUCAUGGGAAAGGUGACGUGGCAUCAGGCCCAGGAGGAUGGAUACGCUCUUGCAGACAGAAGGAGGAGACAUCAGGGACCUGGGAAGAGGAUGAGCCAAAGCAGGGAGUACGACAGUGCUGGACUCCUUGAGAAAUAGCUUGGUGUCCAACUGGUUAGACACAAGAAACCCCACUUGGCUUCAAAGUUACGGAAGAUUUUUCUCCUUGGGGACCGCGGAGAUGUUCAAAGUUUGCCUCCCAGAGAAGACCGGAAUUUGCUUGAAGUGUUUUAAAAAAGGCAUCAAAAUACCGCUAUUGUCCUUGACCCUCAAAUGCAAAAAUUAAAAUCCUCAAACAGAAAGCGAUCUUGAAAAUCUCAUGGAAAUACGUUCUCUAGAGAGCUGAGGCCAAAAAUGAAAACUUUCUUCUCCAGGAGGGUACUGGUCAGCUUAGAAUGAAAGACACAGAAGGGACAGAUUAUAAGAGAAGAUUGUCGAGCUGCUGAGACCACGCCAGGUCUCUCAGCCCAGAACUUCAAGACCUCAUAGACCUUAACGAUGGGAGAGAACUGGAAACACGUAAGCGAAUAAAGUCUGUCAUAUAAUUUCA